CCUACGGGAGGCAGCAGUGGGGGAUAUUGCACAAUGGGGGGAACCCUGAUGCAGCGACGCCGCGUGGGUGAAGGAGCGUUUCGGCGCGUAAAGCCCUAUUGGCAGGGAAGAAGAUGACGGUAUCUGACCAAGAAGCCCCGGCUAACUACGUGCCAGCAGCCGCGGUAAUACGUAGGGGGCAAGCGUUAUCCGGAUUUACUGGGUGUAAAGGGGGCGCAGACGGCAAUGCAAGCCAGGAGUGAAAGCCCGGGGCUCAACCCCGGGACUGCACUUGAAACUGUAUGGCUGGAGUGCGGGAGGGGCAGGCGGAAUUCCUGGUGUAGCGGUAAAAUGCGUAGAUAUUAGGAGGAACACCGAUGGCGAAGGCGGCCUGCUGGACUGUGACUGACGUUGAGGCACGAAGGCGUGGGGAGCAAACAGGAUUAGAUACCCCUGUAGUC
rnacentral:rRNA from 1 species